rnacentral:rRNA from 1 species
UACGUAGGGUGCGAGCGUUAAUCGGAAUUACUGGGCGUAAAGCGUGCGUAGGCGGUUAUUUAAGUCUGUUGUGAAAUCCCCGGGCUCAACCUGGGAAUGGCAAUGGAUACUGGAUAGCUAGAGUGCGAUAGAGGAUGGUGGAAUUCCCGGUGUAGCGGUGAAAUGCGUAGAGAUCGGGAGGAACAUCAGUGGCGAAGGCGGCCAUCUGGAUCAACACUGACGCUGAGGCACGAAAGCGUGGGGAGCAAACAGG